rnacentral:rRNA from 3 species
GAUUGAAUGGUCCGGUGAAGUGUUCGGAUCGGGGGGACGGGGGUGGUUCGCCACCCGCGACGUCUUGAGAAGUCCAUUGAACCUUAUCAUUUAGAGGAAGGAGAAGUCGUAACAAGGUUUCCGUAGGUGAACCUGCGGAAGGAUCAUUG